GACCAGAACCAACUCUGACUCAUCAUCAUGGCUUAAUGAGAGUGCCAACGCCUGAUGGAGAGACAUGGACCUGGAAAGCUCAGCAUAAGGUGACUUUCAGAAAACUUGUCUAUUUAUCACAGUUGACUUCUUUCUGAGAAGCAGCCCAAAAAUGUUUGACAAGCAUUGUCUUCACCAUAGUUCUUAGCUCUGCAGGUAUCUCUCUACUUCAGGUGGAGGGAAUUUUCAUGGAGACAGGAAGUAACCCUACAAAGGUCGCCCAGCACUCUCUGUCACUCCAACUGGGAAAGUAGUAACAAGUUAAACCUAAGGAAUGCUUUCUUUCAAAGAGAACUAACAAACAUUUCCAGGUGGAGGAAGGUGGUAAAAGUCUCCACUGUCUCCUUGGUCAAUAUUGCCACUCAGACACACAGAUUUAACAAAAUGCAAAAGAGUUUAUGGCGGACCCCGCUUCUACACCACAAUUUCAAAUGCCAUGGCACUAGUAAAUAAGAUUUUAAACCUUUUCAGAGUGCUAUAAAUGCUUGUAAAGAUUUAUUUGAAAAAUAUGGCAACACCAACUGCUUCCACAAGAACAAAAACAUACCGGCUUUCUAAAAUAUUGUAACCAGUUUUGUUCAAAAAUAGGACCACUUUAAGAGACGUUUGAAAAUAAAAGGGUUUUUUUUUUAAUCCAAAAGCAAAACUUUACUCCUCUGUAACUUAUUUUAUUGAGAUGCCAGUAAAAUAUAAUGUGUUCUCUGUAAUUUGCAAGCAGGAAUUCUUCACUUACCAGAGCUCGUGUUGUCUGAGUGCCUCAGACAAAGCAGUCAGGUGUUUUACGGCAUUACUCCAAAGCCAGGAAAUCAUGAUGGCAACAUGUUACAAAUUAAAUAGCUCUGCUAUAAACAUUUCAUUUUAUUUUUAUUUUUUAACAGAAAUUAGAUUUUGGAGUUAGAUUAUUUAGCAACCAAAUGGAAAAUAAGCAAAAAUAUAAGAUCAACUUACCCCGUAACCCCUAGAUGAUGUUGUUAGCAAGCAAAACUAAAGGCUGGGACAUAAAAUUACUGCCUCGGGGUGAGCUGCCAGUCCAACUGCUCCUCACUGUUUGGUGUCGUGAGGGGAUUCUACUGUUCAUGAACCUGAAAACUUGUGCUGUGAACUUUUCACCCGACGUCCUUCUGAAGAGUCCAAGUUCUUAAGGAGCCCUCAGAGCCACGUAUAUAUGACCAAUUGCCAUUUCAGUGGCAACCUGCUGUCCUGCAGAACAGAACCUCAGACUGUGUGUUCAGUUCUUGGGGAGGAAACUUUCUUCUUUACUUUUUAUGGCGAAUGCACACAAACACAUCUCCUGGACUGUUUUCAGUCAUUUGGUUUGCUUCUCCCGUAAACUUUAGGCCACUGGAUGAUCAGACCCAGUUGGAGGGCAAAUCCGACUCCUGCCUGAUGUGCAGCCAGUGCUGGGAGUGGUCUAUUUUAGCAUGCAGAGCCCAGGCUCCAGAGUCAAACUUUCUUGCUGCUGCUUCUGGCUUCACAAAUUAGAAAAGUGGCUCCCAGCCUUGGCCGCAUGUUGGAAUCACCUGGGGGCUUUAAAAACUGCUGCUGUCUGAGCCCCACCCCCAGAGAUUUUGAUUUAAUUAGUCUGGGGUGAAGCUUGGGCACUGGAGGUUUUUAAGCCCCCCCAGCUGAUUCUAAUGUGCAGCCAAGGCUGAGAAGAGCUGACUAAAAAGGAGGCUCUAAUUAGAUCUGGUUAUGGCUUCCGAAGACACUAUUAAGACUAGCUCCUCAGGCCCUGGUUGCCUUCAGAAAACACGAGAAGUCUGACUCUAAGCCCCUCGGAACUGUGAUCCCUGUGCUACGUUUCCAUACAAACCCUCGUCUAUCACACUCUCCCAUUCUCUCACCUCCACUUCCUCUUCGGCUUUGCCCUGGGAAACUCAGUCUGUCAUCAGCAAAAUUACCUGACUCAGUAACUACACCAUUCCAGUCUCAGUUUCUAAUAUCCCAUUCUCCACAACGAAGAUAUUGUUGGAUCCUCUUUAUCCCAACUCCAACCAUCCUUUCCCU
rnacentral:lncRNA from 1 species